rnacentral:rRNA from 1 species
GACGUAGGGUGCAAGCGUUGUCCGGAUUUAUUGGGCGUAAAGAGCUCGUAGGCGGCUUGUUGCGUCGACUGUGAAAACCCGCGGCUUAACUGCGGGCUUGCAGUCGAUACGGGCAGGCUAGAGUGCGGUAGGGGAGAUUGGAAUUCCUGGUGUAGCGGUGGAAUGCGCAGAUAUCAGGAGGAACAACAAUGGCGAAGGCAGAUCUCUGGGCCGUAACUGACGCUGAGGAGCGAAAGCAUGGGGAGCGAACAGG